UACGUAGGGAGCAAGCGUUGUCCGGAUUUAUUGGGCGUAAAGAGCUCGUAGGCGGUUCGGUAAGUCGGGUGUGAAAACUCUGGGCUCAACCCGGAGACGCCACCCGAUACUGCUGUGACUUGAGUCUGGUAGGGGAGCACGGAAUUCCUGGUGUAGCGGUGAAAUGCACAGAUAUCAGGAGGAACACCGGUGGCGAAGGCGGUGCUCUGGGCCAGUACUGACGCUGAGGAGCGAAAGCGUGGGGAGCGAACAGG
rnacentral:rRNA from 1 species